rnacentral:rRNA from 1 species
UACGUAGGGGGCAAGCGUUGUCCGGAAUCAUUGGGCGUAAAGAGCGUGUAGGCGGCCCGAUAAGUCCGCCGUGAAAGUCCAGGGCUCAACCCUGGAAUGCCGGUGGAAACUGUCGGGCUGGAGUCCGGAAGAGGCGAGUGGAAUUCCUGGUGUAGCGGUGAAAUGCGCAGAUAUCAGGAGGAACACCGAUGGCGAAGGCAGGUCUCUGGGCCAUAACUGACGCUGAGAAGCGAAAGCAUGGGUAGCAAACAGG